GUGUAAUUUGAAGCAAUAACGGAAACACCUCUGCUUUUCUUUUUGUACUUUUUGAUGCCAAGGUACCCUUUAUGUAACCCACCCCCCUUCCAUCCUUUUACAAGCUUCCAGAAAAUGACUUCGCAACACUGCUGUAAUGCUUAACUUUUCAAACGGCCUUCAUUCUGUGUGGCGUGCAGGCUGAAUAUCUGAAUUGUGUCCUUCCAGAAAGUGGGUUAGCUGGCAGUGGUUACUUCUACUGUUCAUUGUCUGUGAAGAGAUAACAGAGGAAGGCAAUGCCCUCCUCCCUUAUCUCCUAGCAGACUUUGAACAAGUAAGUGGCUGGGGAAAGUCUUUGAAUCUCGGAGAAGGAAUUCACAGGGUUCUUUUGUCAAGCUGAAGGAAAUACUGCUGUUCCAGCCAACCCCCAGCCGCAGGACUACAGGCUGCUGAAUUAUCUUUCAAUGGUUUUUCCAUGAUGCCCAAGGUGGCUUUCUUCAGCUAAGAAAAUACCAGGCUUCAAGUGAGGAAAGGAAAAGAUGCAAGCCAGUUGGACAUAUGAUCUCAAGCACAGGAAAGAUUGACACAACGGUUUGCUCUCAAAGAUAUUCAAGAUUCAAGUGGAAGAAUUUUCUGAUUAAUUUUGUAAGGGUUCUGAACCUGAUUCAGAAAUGAACUUUGACCAGGAUGAAGCUUAUUCUGACCUUUCGCCCAGUUCUCCGAGCUCCUUUCAAUUACAGACCCCAGCUGUGGAUAGCUCCAAUGCUUCCUUAAUUGGGAGAGAUACUGAAAACAUUACUCCUGUGGUAGAACCAGAUGUCCCGAGUUCUCCAGGGAAUGUAUCCUUUAACAGAAGGGAAUUUUGCAUCGCCAGAGAUCAGAAAAACAGGAGCUUCGAAGGAGUCAACGUUUGGCAUCUAGAGGGAUAAUGGAUAGGAGAUUCCCUUGGGAACCUUUGGGGAGUUGGUUUCCCUUCGCUGUGAUUAGAUCUAAGUUCCAUAAAAGUGCCUUACACUGUGAACAAUUUGUGGUGUCAACGUAGCGACUUCUGAGAAUACUUCACCGAUUCCAGUUCCCUGAUUUCACCAAGCCAAGUCUCCUGUUCCUGGCAGCCAAGCCGAGCCGCGACUCCCGAUUUAAUCCGGUGGAAAUUCACGUCCUUGCCUUGUUCCUGAACCCGGAUUGCUUUUAGCUUCGUCUUCUGCCUGCCUUGAUAUCAAAGACUUCCUAGUGACUUUGGACCUUUUUAUUCACUCCUGCUUUCUUGUUGCUUCCCCGCUCAAUAACUUCCCAACA